rnacentral:rRNA from 1 species
CCUGCCCUGACGAGGGGGAUAACCGUUGGAAACGACGGCUAAUACCGCAUAAUGUCUACGGACCAAAGGUGGCCUCUACAUGUAAGCUAUCGCGUCGGGAUGGGCCCAGUUAGGAUUAGCUAGUUGGUAAGGUAAUGGCUUACCAAGGCGACGAUCCUUAGCUGGUUUGAGAGGAUGAUCAGCCACACUGGGACUGAGACACGGCCCAGACUCCUACGGGAGGCAGCAGUGGGGAAUAUUGCACAAUGGGGGAGACCCUGAUGCAGCCAUGCCGCGUGUGUGAAGAAGGCCUUCGGGUUGUAAAGCACUUUCAGCAGUGAGGAAGGUAGUGUACUUAAUACGUGCAUUGCUUGACGUUAGCUGCAGAAGAAGCACCGGCUAACUCCGUGCCAGCAGCCGCGGUAAUACGGAGGGUGCGAGCGUUAAUCGGAAUUACUGGGCGUAAAGCGCAUGCAGGCGGUUUGUUAAGUCAGAUGUGAAAGCCCGGGGCUCAACCUCGGAACCGCAUUUGAAACUGGCAGGCUAGAGUCUUGUAGAGGGGGGUAGAAUUUCAGGUGUAGCGGUGAAAUGCGUAGAGAUCUGAAGGAAUACCAGUGGCGAAGGCGGCCCCCUGGACAAAGACUGACGCUCAAAUGCGAAAGCGUGGGUAGCAAACAG